rnacentral:rRNA from 1 species
UACGGGGGGAGGCAAGCGUUGUUCGGAUUUACUGGGCGUAAAGGGCGCGUAGGCGGUCGUGACAAGUCACUUGUGAAAUCUCCGGGCUUAACUCGGAACGGUCAAGUGAUACUGUCGGACUAGAGUACAGAAGGGGCAACUGGAAUUCUCGGUGUAGCGGUGAAAUGCGUAGAUAUCGAGAGGAACACCUGCGGCGAAGGCGGGUUGCUGGGCUGACACUGACGCUGAGGCGCGAAAGCUAGGGGAGCGAACGGG